ACUUAAACACUGGUUCUCAUAUGAUCACCAAAGUUAAGCAAUGUUGAGCCUUGUUAGUACCUUGGUGGGUAACCACUUGGGAAUACCAGGUGCUGUAAG